GUUAUUGUAGCUUAACAUGAAAGCACGGCACUGAAAAUGCCGCGAUGGGACUUACAAAAACCCCAAAAACA
rnacentral:tRNA from 3 species